UACAGAGGGGGCAAGCGUUGUUCGGAAUUACUGGGCGUAAAGGGCGCGUAGGCGGCCUUCUAAGUCGAACGUGAAAUCCCCGGGCUCAACCCGGGAACUGCGUCCGAUACUGGAAGGCUUGAAUCCGGGAGAGGGAUGUGGAAUUCCAGGUGUAGCGGUGAAAUGCGUAGAUAUCUGGAGGAACACCGGUGGCGAAGGCGGCAUCCUGGACCGGCAUUGACGCUGAGGCGCGAAAGCUAGGGGAGCAAACGGGG
rnacentral:rRNA from 1 species